AUUGAACGCUGGCGGCAGGCUUAACACAUGCAAGUCGAGCGAGCGGCGGACGGGUGAGUAAUGUCUGGGAACCUGCCUGAUGGCGGGGGAUAACUACUGGAACCGGUAGCUAAUACCGCUUACCAUCAGAUGUGCCCAGAUGGGAUUAGCUAGUAGGUGGGGUAAUGGCUCACUAAGGCGACGAUCCCUAGCCGGUCUGAGAGGAUGACCAGCCACACUGGAAAUGAUAGACGGUCGAGACUCCUCCGGUAGGCACCAGUGGGGAAUAUGGCACAAUGGGCGCAAGCCUGAUGCAGCCAUGCCGCGGGUGUGAAGAAGGCCUUCGGGUUGUAAAGCACUUUCAGCGAGGAGGCGUUACUCGCAGAAGAAGCACCGGCUAACUCCGUGCCAGCAGCCGCGGUAAUAC
rnacentral:rRNA from 1 species